rnacentral:rRNA from 1 species
GACGAACGCUGGCGGCGUGCUUAACACAUGCAAGUCGAACGAAGUGGCGAACGGGUGAGUAACGCGUAAUCAACCUGCCCUUCAGAGGGGGACAACAGUGGGAAACGACUGCUAAUACCGCAUACUGAAGGAGGGGAUUGCGUCGGAUUAGCUAGUUGGAGGGGUAACGGCCCACCAAGGCGAUGAUCGGUAGCCUGGUGGGGAGGCUGAACGGCGUAAUUGGGACUGAGAGACGGGCCAGACGCCUACGGGAGGCAGCAGUGGGGGAACUUGCGGAAUUGGCGAAAGGCUGACGGAGCAAAGCCGCGGGAGUGGUGACGGGCUUCGGGGUGUUAAGCUCUGUUAAUCGGGACGCGGUACCGGAAGAGAAAGCCACGGCUAACUACGUGCCAGCAGCCGCGGUAAUUC